AUUUGGGUCAAUAUUGAUGACUAAUGUAUCAAUCUAAUAUAGAAAUCAGUUUGACACCUUUAAGAGAUUUUGAUUGGGUCAACAAAUUAUUCAUUUAACAAUAAUCCAAACUAUUCAUUUAACAAAGAAUUAUAAAACAUUAUAUAGCUGGGCACAGCGGUGCACACCUGUAAUCCUAGUGGCUCAGGAGGCUAAGCCAGGAGGAUCACAAGUUCAAAGCCAGUCUCAACAAAAGUGAAGCGCUAAGCAACUCAGACCCUUUCUCUAAAUAAAAUACAAAAAAAAAGGGGGUUGGAAUCUGUGAGGUGAAUAGACAGCCUACAUCUUGGGAGCAAAUCUUUACCCCUCAUACAUCAGAGCACUAAUCACUAGGGUAUAUAAAGAACUCAAAAAGCUAAACACCAAAAAAAAAUAAUAAUAAUAAAUGGGCCAAGGACCUGAAGAGACUUCUCAGAAGAUGAUGUAUAAUCAGUUAACAAAUACAUGAAAAAAAUGUUCAUCAUCACUAGCAAUUAGAGAAAUGCAAAUUAAAACCACUCCAAGAUUUCAUCUCACUCCAGUCAGAAUGGCAGCUAUAAGUUUUGCAAGGGUAUGGGGAAAAAGGUACACUCAUCACUACUGGUGGGACUGCAAAUUGGUGCAGCCAAUAUGGAAAGCAGUAUGGAGAUUUCUUGGAAAAUUGGGAAUGGAAUCACCAUUUGGCCCAGCUGUCCCUCUCCUAGGUCUAUACCCAAAGAACUUAAAAACAGCAUACUACAGGGACGCAGCCACAUCAGUGUUUAUAGCAGCACAAUUCAUAAUAGCUAAACUGUGGAACCAACCUAGAUGCCCUUCAGUAGAUGAAUGGAUUAAAAAAAUGUGGCAUAUAUACACAAUGGAAUAUUAGAGAAUAAAAUCAUGGCAUUUGCAGGUAAUGAAGUUAGAGAAGAUAAUGCUAAGUGAAGUUAGCCAAUCCCCAAAAAAAAACAAAUGCGGAAUGUUUUCUUUGCUAUAAGGAGGCUAAUUCAUAGGGGGAUAGGGAGCGGG
rnacentral:lncRNA from 1 species